GCAUAAUGGGCGAAAGCCUGAUGCAGCAACGCCGCGUGUGCGAUGAAGGCCUUCGGGUCGUAAAGCACUUUUGGGAGGAUGAGGAAGGACAGUACUCCCAGAAUAAGCCUCGGCUAACUACGUGCCAGCAGCCGCGGUAAAACGUAGGAGGCGAGCGUUAUCCGGAUUUACUGGGUGUAAAGCGUGUGCAGGCGGACCGGCAAGUUGGAUGUGAAAGCUCCUGGCUUAACUGGGAGAGGUCGUUCAAAACUGCCGGACUUGAGUAUGGGAGAGGGAGGCGGAAUUCCGGGUGUAGUGGUGAAAUGCGUAGAUAUCCGGAGGAACACCAGUGGCGAAAGCGGCCUCCUGGCCCAAAACUGACGCUCAGACACGAAAGCUAGGGGAGCGAACGGGAUUAGAGACCCCGGUAGUCCUAGCUGUAAACGAUGUGAACUUGGCGUCAGCGGGUUUAAAUCCGUCGGUGCCGAAGCUAACGCGAUAAGUUCACCACCUGGGGACUACGGCCGCAAGGUUA
rnacentral:rRNA from 1 species